GAUGAACGCUGGCGGCGUGCCUAAUACAUGCAAGUCGAGCGAACAGACGAGGAGCUUGCUCCUCUGACGUUAGCGGCGGACGGGUGAGUAACACGUGGAUAACCUACCUAUAAGACUGGGAUAACUUCGGGAAACCGGAGCUAAUACCGGAUAAUAUAUUGAACCGCAUGGUUCAAUAGUGAAAGACGGUUUUGCUGUCACUUAUAGAUGGAUCCGCCGCAUUAGCUAGUUGGUAAGGUAACGGCUUACCAAGGCAACGAUGCGUAGCCGACCUGAGAGGGUGAUCGGCCACACUGGAACUGAGACACGGUCCAGACUCCUACGGGAGGCAGCAGUAGGGAAUCUUCCGCAAUGGGCGAAAGCCUGACGGAGCAACGCCGCGUGAGUGAUGAAGGUCUUCGGAUCGUAAAACUCUGUUAUUAGGGAAGAACAAAUGUGUAAGUAACUAUGCACGUCUUGACGGUACCUAAUCAGAAAGCCACGGCUAACUACGUG
rnacentral:rRNA from 1 species